AGUGAACGCUGGCGGCGUGCUUAACACAUGCAAGUCGAACGAGAACGGAUUAUAGCUUGCUAUAAUUGUCAGCUAAGUGGCGCACGGGUGAGUAAUGUAUAGGUAAUAUGCCUCUAACUAAGGGAUAACAAUUGGAAACGAUUGCUAAUACCUUAUAUUCCUUUUUAUCAAAAGAUAAAAAGGGAAAGAUUUAUUGGUAAGAGAUUAGCCUGUAUUGUAUCAGUUAGUUGGUGGGGUAAUGGCCUACCAAGACAAUGACGCAUAACUGGUUUGAGAGGAUGAUCAGUCACACUGGAACUGAGACACGGUCCAGACUCCUACGGGAGGCAGCAGUGGGGAAUAUUGCACAAUGGACGAAAGUCUGUUGCAGCAACGCCGCGUGGAGGAUGACACAUUUCGGUGCGUAAACUCCUUUUAUAUAAGAAGAUAAUGACGGUAUUAUAUGAAUAAGCACCGGCUAACUCCGUGCCAGCAGCCGCGGUAA
rnacentral:rRNA from 1 species